AUAAUUUUUCAGUUCAUAAGCAUGAUGAUUGGGUUUUCAUAUAUCUGUGAUAUGUGCCUCCCUUCAACCUUUGUUACGACAUUGGCACAUUACCCCUCUGACA